rnacentral:rRNA from 1 species
UACGAAGGUGGCAAGCGUUGUCCGGAUUUAUUGGGUUUAAAGGGUGCGUAGGCGGCUUUAUAAGUCAGUGCUGAAAUAUCCCGGCUUAACCGGGAGGGUGGCAUUGAUACUGCAGAGCUUGAGUGAAGUCGAGGUAGGCGGAAUUGACGGUGUAGCGGUGAAAUGCUUAGAUAUCGUCAAGAACACCGAUAGUGAAGACAGCUUACUAGACUUCAACUGACGCUGAGGCACGAAAGUGUGGGGAGCAAACAGG